GCUAAGCGUAUAUAUAUAUAAAAAAGUUAUAGUAAAUAACAACUAAUUUUACUGUAGUUACAACAUUAAGUGGAUAAAGAAAUAUAUAUAAUAGAUAAUAUAUAAUAGAAAUAUAGGAAAAUUUAGUAAUUUAGUUAGUAUCUCUUGUUUGAAGGCUUUUGUCUCUAAUGUUAAAACAUUUUGCAAUGAAUUUUGAAAAUAGAUCGAUUAAAACUGAAUCAGUACUUGAAAUAACAUGACUCAAUAAGUUUUGCUUUGACUCUGUUACAAGAGUCAUUUGAAAAAUGUUUUUCAGUAUAUUGCUGGAAUCAUUCCUAAUGUUUUCAUAAUUUUGACAUUCGAAGGCAAAGUGAAAUUCGUCUUCGACUUUCUGUGUGCCGCAUAAUUUACAAUAUCUUUCUUCACGGGGUAUAUUUUGAUAACGGCCGUACUCUAUAAGUAGUUUGUGAUUACUUAUUCGGAAUUUUGCAAACAUUCUUCUUUGGGAUGGGUCUUUUAUUGUGUUAAGAUAUUCUUCCAUUUUGUAUUUCUUUUUAAAUGUAUAGUAAAAUGAUAGUUUUCUGGAAUUUCUUACUUGAUCAUUCCAGAAUGAAACAUAGUUGUCUUUGACGCUUUUUUU